rnacentral:rRNA from 1 species
AGAGUUUGAUCAUGGCUCAGGAUGAACGCUGGCGGCGUGCCUAAUACAUGCAAGUCGAACGGACAGGCGCAAGCCUGUUAGUGGCGAACGGGUGAGUAACGCGUGGGUGACCUGCCCCAAAGAGCGGGAUAACAGGCCGAAAGGCUUGCUAAUACCGCAUGUGCAAGUCGUGGUUAGAGGGCGGCUUGGAAAGGAGCAAUCCGCUUUGGGAGGGGCCUGCGUCCCAUCAGCUAGUUGGUAGGGUAACGGCCUACCAAGGCGAUGACGGGUAGGGGACCUGAGAGGGUGACCCCCCACAAUGGAACUGAAACACGGUCCAUACACCUACGGGUGGCAGCAGUAGGGAAUAUUGCUUAAUGGGCGCAAGCCUGAAGCAGCAACGCCGCGUGUGCGAUGAAGGCCUUCGGGUUGUAAAGCACUUUUGACCGGGAAGAGGAAGGACGGUACCGGUCGAAUAAGCCUCGGCUAACUACGUGCCAGCAGCCGCGGUAACACGUAGGAGGCGAGCGUUAUCCGGAUUUACUGGGUGUAAAGCGCGUGCAGGCGGCAUGCUAAGUUGGGUGUGAAAGCUCCCGGCUCAACUGGGAGAGGUCGCUCAAGACUGGCAGGCUCGAGAGCAGUAGAGGAAGGUGGAAUUCCGGGUGUAGUGGUGAAAUGCGUAGAUAUCCGGAGGAACACCAGUGGCGAAAGCGGCCUUCUGGACUGCAUCCGACGCUCAGACGCGAAAGCUAGGGUAGCAAACGGGAUUAGAGACCCCGGUAGUCCUAGCCGUAAACGAUGUGAACUUGGCGCUGGGUGGGUAAAACCGGUCAGUGCCGCAGCUAACGCGAUAAGUUCACCACCUGGGGACUACGGCCGCAAGGUUAAAACUCAAAUGAAUUGACGG